rnacentral:rRNA from 1 species
AGCGAACGCUGGCGGCAGGCCUAACACAUGCAAGUCGAACGAAGUCUCCGGACUUAGUGGCGGACGGGUGAGUAACACGUGGGAACGUGCCCUUUGGUACGGAAUAACUCAGGGAAACUUGAGCUAAUACCGUAUGUGCCCUUCGGGGGAAAGAUUUAUCGCCAUUGGAGCGGCCCGCGUCUGAUUAGCUAGUUGGUGAGGUAAAGGCUCACCAAGGCGACGAUCAGUAGCUGGUCUGAGAGGAUGAUCAGCCACAUUGGGACUGAGACACGGCCCAAACUCCUACGGGAGGCAGCAGUGGGGAAUCUUGCGCAAUGGGCGAAAGCCUGACGCAGCCAUGCCGCGUGAAUGAUGAAGGUCUUAGGAUUGUAAAAUUCUUUCACCGGGGACGAUAAUGACGGUACCCGGACAAGAAGCCCCGGCUAACUUCGUGCCAGCCGCCGCUGUAAGAC